rnacentral:rRNA from 1 species
UACGUAGGGGGCAAGCGUUGUCCGGAAUCAUUGGGCGUAAAGCGCGUGUAGGCGGCUUGAUAAGUCUGCUCUGAAAGCCCGGGGCUCAACCCCGGGAGGCGGGUGGAUACUGUCAAGCUCGAGUCCGGAAGAGGAGUGUGGAAUUCCUGGUGUAGCGGUGAAAUGCGCAGAUAUCAGGAAGAACACCCGUGGCUAAGGCGGCUCUCUAGUACGGUACUGACGCUGAGACGCGAAAGCGUGGGGAGCGAACAGG